rnacentral:pre_miRNA from 1 species
CACGGGGGGAGGUGGUCCCUCAGCCCAGUUUGUGAGAGGGUGCAGGCCAGGCUGAGGGACUCCACCAGUGCACA